AUUGAACGCUGGCGGAAUGCUUUACACAUGCAAGUCGAACGGCAGCACGGGAGCUUGCUCCUGGUGGCGAGUGGCGAACGGGUGAGUAACAUAUCGGAACGUACCCAGUCGUGGGGGAUAACUAUCCGAAAGGAUAGCUAAUACCGCAUACGUCCUGAGGGAGAAAGCGGGGGAUCGCAAGACCUCGCGCGAUUGGAGCGGCCGAUAUCGGAUUAGCUAGUUGGUGGGGUAAAGGCUCACCAAGGCGACGAUCCGUAGCGGGUCUGAGAGGACGACCCGCCACACUGGAACUGAGACACGGUCCAGACUCCUACGGGAGGCAGCAGUGGGGAAUUUUGGACAAUGGGGGCAACCCUGAUCCAGCCAUUCCGCGUGAGUGAAGAAGGCCUUCGGGUUGUAAAGCUCUUUCAGCAGGAACGAAACGGUCGGCUUCAAUAAAGUCGGCUAAUGACGGUACCUGCAGAAGAAGCACCGGCUAACUACGUG
rnacentral:rRNA from 1 species